rnacentral:rRNA from 1 species
CCUACGGGUGGCAGCAGUGGGGAAUAUUGCACAAUGGGGGGAACCCUGAUGCAGCGACGCCGCGUGAGUGAAGAAGUAUUUCGGUAUGUAAACUUCUAUCAGCAGGGAAGAAGAUGACGGUACCUGACUAAGAAGCCCCGGCUAACUACGUGCCAGCAGCCGCGGUAAUACGUAGGGGGCAAGCGUUAUCCGGAUUUACUGGGUGUAAAGGGAGCGUAGGCGGCAGUGCAAGUCAGAAGUGAAAGCCCAAGGCUCAACCACGGGACUGCUUUGGAAACUGUACGGCUAGAGUGCAGGAGAGGCAAGCGGAAUUCCUAGUGUAGCGGUGAAAUGCGUAGAUAUUAGGAGGAACACCAGUGGCGAAGGCGGCCUACUGGACUGUAAAUGACGUUGAGGCUCGAAAGCGUGGGGAGCAAACAGGAUUAGAUACCCGUGUAGUC